AGCUUUGUGCAGUGGCAGUAUCAUACUCUAUGAAGGUCUACUGAGGCAUGAUUUUUCCUAAUUGAAAACUUUAACCAGUACCCCGUUAAGUCUGUUUUUUUGACAGACUUGACAAUAUUUUAUCAUCUCUCUGGAGG